UGGGGAAUAUUGCACAAUGGGCGCAAGCCUGAUGCAGCCAUGCCGCGUGUAUGAAGAAGGCCUUCGGGUUGUAAAGUACUUUCAGCAGUGAGGAAGGUUCAUGCGUUAAUAGCGUAUGGAUUUGACGUUAGCUGCAGAAGAAGCACCGGCUAACUCCGUGCCAGCAGCCGCGGUAAUACGGAGGGUGCGAGCGUUAAUCGGAAUUACUGGGCGUAAAGCGCAUGCAGGUGGUUUGUUAAGUCAGAUGUGAAAGCCCGGGGCUCAACCUCGGAACUGCAUUUGAAACUGGCAGGCUAGAGUACUGUAGAGGGGGGUAGAAUUUCAGGUGUAGCGGUGAAAUGCGUAGAGAUCUGAAGGAAUACCGGUGGCGAAGGCGGCCCCCUGGACAGAUACUGACACUCAGAUGCGAAAGCGUGGGGAGCAAACAGGAUUAGAUACCCCCGUAGUCC
rnacentral:rRNA from 1 species